AUUAGACCCGGCCGUGCUCCAGGCCCGCGGAGCCCCGCUCCGGCUGCAGCGGCGGCGAUGGGGAAGGGGGCACCGGGGGCCAGGUGAGUCUGGGGCGCCGGCCGCCGGCAGGUGCGCGGGGCCGGCCUGGGGCACCGAGACGCCUCUCUGCAGCCGCCGGCCCCGAGCUUGGCGCAACCCGGCCGCGCCGCCCCGGGCGCAGCCUCCUCCCGGCUGGACUGUCCCGCGGCGAACAGAGCCCCGACUUCCCGCUCCCUUCUGCUGGCUCUUGCUUUCUCCCUCCUGUCUCCCGCGCCUCGGCUUUCCUUAGAGGGUGGAGAGGGGCCGGCGAGGAAGCGGCGGUGCUGUUUAGUCCUUGACCGAGUGUUCGACCCCGCUGCCGCGAGGCCCCUCCGGCCUGGAGGGCGGCAUGGGCGGCGGCGGCCGCGGAGCCAUGGAGCGGGAGGGUAGCGGAGGGGAGCUGGGCGGAGGCGGCGGGGGCCGGGCCCGGGCGCGCUCUCCUGCCCUCCCUGGCGGUUCCCUGUGCCUGAAGACGCGGCGCCCGGAGCCCGCGAUCUGUCGCGAGGCGCAGAAGCUCCGCGGCCCACGUGCGACCGAGCCGCGUUUGUUUAUGGCGGACCCGCCUUCGGGCGGAGCACUGGGCCGCCGAGGCCCAGGGAGGGGGGGGCGGGGGGGGGGGGGGACCGCGGCGGGGGGGGGGGCGGCGAAUCUCGCCUCCCGACCCCGCCGCGGCCCCGGAGUCACAGGCGCGCCUCCGCGCCGCUGCCUCCAGCGACUCUCCCAGGAGAGACCCGCGCGCUCCCGGGCUCGAGGAAGUCGCGGCCGGCGUGGAAGGCGGGUUUCCUGAGAGGUGUAUGUCCCAGAAUACACUCUGCCCUCCUGGGAGGAAAAGGCGACGCCUACGGCAGAGGGCCGUCCCGCAUCAGAGGUUCCAGGAGCGUCAAAGCCGGACUUCAGAUCUGAGCGGCGGCGGAGCCACGCUUGUGUGGUGUCCGCGCCCAUCUGGAGGCGGGUGGCGGGACCUCCUCGCCAGCGGUCCCCGCCCUGGGCCGAAGCCAGGCUUUGGCAGCAGCGGGUCACAAUCGGGGACAGGGGUGGCCGGAGGGGGCCCGAGCAUCAGGCUUCCUGGUCGCUAGAGGUAUUUUUAAUUCCGCAGAAGAGACUCAGGACUCCUAACUCCCAGCACUGGGUGCAGGCUCAGAAGGGGACUGUGUCAGACUUACUUUGCGGCGCGGCCCAGCCUUUUGCGCGCGCAAAGUCUCGGGACCGCCGGCGUGGUUAGAAACGCGGCCUGGGCCGGUUGGCGGAAGGGGGCGCAAUGCGCACGGCCGCUUGAGGAGCUCUGUAAGCAUGGAGGGCGGAGGGCUAGCUGAACACCGGCAGAUCCGAGCGCGGGAUGGGGGUAAGGAGGAUAAUAUACUCCGGGGUAGGGGGCGCAGGGCACGGGGGAGUGGGAGGCUCAGACGCACGCGCGCGCGCAACGUGCAUGGCGGGAGCGCAGCGUACCCUGCAGCGUCUUAGUACGCACCGGGCAGGAGGGGUGCUGGGGUGCGUGCGGCUGUUCGUGACGCUCACAUGGGUACCAGAGGCCGUGCGGCCGUCGUCCCGAGCCUGAACUGGCAACCUGUGCUCGUCUCCCCUCCCCCCACCGCCCCCCGCGCGCGCUCUUGUCGCUCGGCUUCCGCCCUGCGAACCGCGCCCACUCCCCCAUUCUUUUCAAGCGGGAAGUAGGGACCAAAGAGAACGGGGACCUGUAGGGCAGGCAAGAGAGGAAGGGACCCGGUGCAUGUGGGUGGUGGGAUGUCUGGUGGGAAUUAGACACUGGUGCUUUCAUCUUGGCUUCGCCAAAGCCCCCUGAGCCGUCCUCAGCUCGCGCGCACUUAGUCCGGAUCCAGAGUCGAAUUCUUGCGCUGGCGGCUCGGCCUUCUGUGGCGAGACCCGGCGUGGUCCCCGAUUGGGAAAGAAGGUCCAACUCCCCCCCCCCCCACCCCCCCGCCGCCCCUCGCCCUCUUGUAAGGGCCCCAAGCCGGAAUUCCUUUUAGGUGCCAGAGCAAAUACCCCGGAGGACGAGGCGCGGGGUAGAGCACGUUUUCAUAUAAAACGAAAGACUUUUAAGAUUAGCACUUUUUCUCACUUGAAGAAUAUUUUCCCUGGCAAAAGCAUCUAGCUGAACUGAUCAACUAUAGGGUAGAUUCAAACUGUGCGGUUUGUGAAUAUUUUUGGCCCCACAUACAGCACCUUCUUCAUUUUUUGGAGGACAGAAACAAACUAAUCUUGAUUAUUGCACCCACGCUCUUUUCGCCCUGCGUGUGUAGACAAAGACAUUAUUUAAUCUGACUACGGAAUUCUCUGUGCUUCUCUCCCAGGAGCUUUUGGACCAGGGUGGGUGAGGCCUCGAGCGCCUUCCUCUCUGGGCGCGCAGUUUCCCGUUCAGGGGAUCGUUCUCGUCGCUUUCCUCUUGACGGGAGGAGUGGUCAGGGUGCUAGCGCGCUCACGGCUUCAAGGAGCUGUGCAAGGGCGACUACUACGUUCCCAGUGUCCAAGCCUCAAGAAGCCGCUUUGUUAUGGGGCUUGAGAGACCUAGUUCAAAUCUUGCAUUUCAUUUUUGAGAGUUCCUACCAAUUGCCAGGGCCUGGGCUGGGCAUGCGGGGGGCGGUGGGGUGGGGUUCGGACAAGAGAGGUGGAUAUAGAAAACUUUAUUGAGAAAUCUAAUUUUUGAAUAAAUUACAAGCCGGGCGUGCGGGGCGGGGGGGA
rnacentral:lncRNA from 1 species